rnacentral:rRNA from 1 species
CGAACGCUGGCGGCAUGCCUAACACAUGCAAGUCGAACGAGACCUUCGGGUCUAGUGGCGUCACGGGUGCGUAACGCGUGGGAAUCUACCCUUGGGUUCGGAAUAACUCAGAGAAAUUUGAGCUAAUACCGGAUGAUGUCGAAAGACCAAAGAUUUAUCGCCCAAGGAUGAGCCCGCGUAGGAUUAGCUAGUUGGUAACGGUAAAGGCUACACCAAGGCGACGAUCCUUAGCUGGUCUGAGAGGAUGAUCAGCCACACUGGGACUGAGACACGGCCCAGACUCCUACGGGAGCAGCAGUGGGGAAUAUUGGACAAUGGGCGAAAGCCUGGAAUCCAGCAAUGCCGCGUGA